CUUGCAAGUCGGUAAAGAGGGAGGGGAGGCGAGUACUUUUCGCAGUUUCCAGGAGGGGCAGCCCUCCCUGCUUGGGGCUUCAGUUUCUGCCGGGGAAGGCCUCCUCCCUCUCCUCAGCCAGAGGGGGUUGGGAAUUGGUGACUCGCUUUCGGGGUCUCGCGUUGUGCUGGCUGCUGCCGGGACAGAGUCGGGAAGUUUCACGGGGCUUGUGUUGGGAAAGCUGAGAUCUCGCGUUGUGCUGCCGGCCUAGGAUGGAGUCCUCUGACUCUUGGCGGCAGCAGGAGCGUGAGACCCAGCGCUUCUGCUCCAAUGCUUGUUUGAAAAGCCAAACAAGCAAAUAGCUAAAGGAGAUCCUGAACACACCCGGUUCACAAAGGAAUCUUGAACAACAUUGAGUUUCACAGCUGCAAAGGCGACAGGUGGGAAGGCCAUGAUUUGCUAGGUGAAAGAAAGAGGCUGUUUGUGAUGAUGCAGGGUCUUCUGGGGUCCAAAGAGGAAAAGACUGCUUCUUCACCCACACUUUAUCUCCUAGGAAAAGCAACACCAGCAGGUGUCUUAUGAUGUUCUUAUAUGUUGACGACUUGGUUUCCUUUAAAAUCUCGGUACAGUUUGGACACACGAAUCAGGAUUUCAGAUUCUGGGGGGAAAUGAACAGUUAUAAAACCUUUUGUACAUGUAAAAGUGUAAAGCUGCAUCAUUUAAAAAUUAUUAUUUUCCGGAAAGUUU